rnacentral:rRNA from 1 species
GGGCUGGCGGGAAAUGUAGCGUAUAGGAGGGUCGCUUCUCCCGGUGUGCUGCGGCCAGUCCAAGUCCCUCUUGAACGGGGCCACGGUCCCUAGAAGGUGCCAGGCCUGUGGGAUGGUUGCGGCUUCCGGGAAGGCCUCUCCUUGGAGUCGGGUUGCUUGAGAGUGCAGCCCUAAGCAGGUGGUAAACUCCAUCUAAGGCUAAAUAUGACCACGAGACCGAUAGCAAACAAGUACCGUGAGGGAAAGUUGAAAAGAACUUUGAAGAGAGAGUUCAAGAGUACGUGAAACCGUUCGGGGGUAAACGGGUGGAGCCCUAAAGGUCGAAAGGGGAGAUUCAGUAUCCAGUCCGCAUUGCCGCUCUGCGUCGUUGGGUAAAAACACUCGUCGUUGCUCCUUGUGGGUGCGGCGGGAGGCCCUCGGCGUAGUCUCGCGCGCAGGUGGGGGAGCGCACUUCUCCCCGAGUAGGACGCCGCGACCCGUUGGGUGUCGGUCGAAGGCCCGGGUGCGAGCCCGUUCCGCGGCUUGCCGUGGGGCGGAGCCCCGGUGUCCCGGACGACUGCCCGACGGUCGAAAGUAAGGAAAAGGCCCGCGUGGCUUCUCGAAGCUCGCGCUCGUGCCCCGUGCAAGCGUUCGGUCGAACUCGUUGUGCGGACUUGUCCGCCGCGGGCCGGCUGGCGCUGUUGGCAUGGGGAUUUCUCGAGCAGUGGCCUGCUCCUGUUCNCGGGGCUCAAAACUGNGCGGNCCACCCGGCCCGUCUUGAAGCACGGACCAAGGAGUCUAACAUGUGCGCGAGUCAUUGGGUACCACUACACCCAAGGGCGUAUUGAACGAAAAGGUCGUGCCUUGUGCCGGCCGAGGGAAGAUGGGGGCUCGCUCGCGAGCCCCCCGCAUUCCCGGGGCGUCUCGUCCUACCUCCGCUUGUCGGUCGAAGGUGAGGCGCACCAAGAGCGUACACGUUGGGACCCGAAAGAUGGUGAACUAUGCCUGGCCAGGACGAAGUCAGGGGAAACCCUGAUGGAGGUCCGUAGCGGUUCUGACGUGCAAAUCGAUCGUCGGAGCUGGGUAUAGGGGCGAAAGACUAAUCGAACCAUCUAGUAGCUGGUUCCCUCCGAAGUUUCCCUCAGGAUAGCUGGCGCUCGUUGAACCGAGUCCCAUCCGGUAAAGCGAAUGAUUAGAGGCCUUGGGGUCGAAACGACCUCAACCUAUUCUCAAACUUUAAAUGGGUGGGAACCGCGGCUUGUUUGAAAGAUAAAGCCGCGGACCACGGAUCGGAGUGCCCAGUGGGCCACUUUUGGUAAGCAGAACUGGCGCUGUGGGAUGAACCAAACGCCGGGUUAAGGCGCCCGAAUCGACGCUCAUUCGAAACCAUGAAAGGUGUUGGUUGCUUAAGACAGCAGGACGGUGGCCAUGGAAGUCGGAAUCCGCUAAGGAGUGUGUAACAACUCACCUGCCGAAGCAACUAGCCCUGAAAAUGGAUGGCGCUGAAGCGUCGUGCCUAUACCCGGCCGCCGGUGGCAGAAGGCGGGUGCUUUCGGGCGCUCGCUGCGAAGCCCUGGUGAGUAGGAGGGUCGCGACGGUGAGCGCAGAAGGGUCUGGGCGUGAGCCUGCCUGGAGCCGCCGUCGGUGCAGAUCUUGGUGGUAGUAGCAAAUACUCCAGCGAGGCCCUGGAGGACUGAUGUGGAGAAGGGUUCCGUGUGAACAGCCGUUGCACACGGGUCAGUCGAUCCUAAGCCCUAGGAGAAAUCCGAUGUUGAUGGUCGCGGGAUGUUCAUGCCACGACUUGGCGCGCAGGUCUUCGCCAGGAUGGCGGAGGGUAGAAGGAGGCAUCUCUGCGUGAUGCACGCGAAAGGGGGACCCCACCCCGGGCGAGCGGAGCAAAAUCUCGGAGGGACUUUGACUUUGGUUCCACCUCUUUUGCCCGCGCUCGUGCCGGAUGUGUGUUCGGACGCUCUUCCCUCGCUGCACACACACGUGCCACCCCAAACCCAAUGUGUCCCUGGUUAGAGGAGGGUGACACCACCCCGGCAGGCCGUCUCCUCUCCCCGGUGAAAGGCAAUCAAACCACCACAACGCGACUCCGUGACCGGCGCGUACGGGCGGGCGAUCUCGAUCGGACUUUGAAGACAUUGCGUCGUUGGUCUGUUCUUUCGCUGCGCCCGAUACGUAUGUGCGGUGCGCGAGAGUGUCGGCGUUGUGCUGCAUGGUUUGGCCGAGUAGUGUUCGGGGGAGAGUCGCAGACACGGUCGUGUGCGGAGGAUGACGUUGACUUCUGUAACUUCCAAGAAGGCUGGCGCGCGCCAAUUGAAGUCGAGCGAACUAGCACCCCGUCCGUCGGGCGAAAGGGAAUCUGGUUCCUAUUCCAGAACCCGGUUGCGGAACCGCACUCACGAUCCUCGUAUUGACACGGUAACGUGAAAGACCCCAGAGAAGCCGUCUGGAGCCCCGGGAAGAGUUUUCUUUUCUGCCUGAGCGUUCGGGUUCCAUGGAAUCCUCUCGUAGGGAGAUAUGGAAUGGAACGCGAAGAGCACCGCAGUUGCUGCGGUGUCCGGGGAGUCCCGUCGGUCCUUGAAAAUCUGGGUGAGGAUCACGUGGAGGCGUCGCACCGGCUCGUACCCAUAUCCGCAGCAGGUCUCCAAGGUCAAGAGCCUMWAGUCGAUAGAC